AAUGAACGCUGGCGGCAUGCCUUACACAUGCAAGUCGAACGGCAGCAUGACCUAGCUUGCUAGGUUGAUGGCGAGUGGCGAACGGGUGAGUAAUGCAUCGGAACGUGCCUUUUAGUGGGGGAUAACGUAGCGAAAGUUACGCUAAUACCGCAUAUUCUCUGAGGAGGAAAGCAGGGGGCCUUCGGCCCUUGCGCUAGAAGAGCGGCCGAUGUCGGAUUAGCUAGUUGGUGAGGUAAAGGCUCACCAAGGCAACGAUCCGUAGCGGGUCUGAGAGGAUGAUCCGCCACACUGGGACUGAGACACGGCCCAGACUCCUACGGGAGGCAGCAGUGGGGAAUUUUGGACAAUGGGCGCAAGCCUGAUCCAGCCAUGCCGCGUGAGUGAAGAAGGCCUUCGGGUUGUAAAGCUCUUUCGGCUGGGAAGAAAUCGCACUCUCUAAUACAGGGUGUGGAUGACGGUACCAGCAUAAGAAGCACCGGCUAACUACGUG
rnacentral:rRNA from 1 species